AUUGAACGCUGGCGGCAGGCCUAACACAUGCAAGUCGAGCGAGCGGCGGACGGGUGAGUAAUGUCUGGGAAAAUGCCUGAUGGAGGGGGAUAACUCCUGGAAACGGUAGCUAAUACCGCAUACCAUCGGAUGUGCCCAGAUGGGAUGAGCUUGUUGGUGGGGUAACUGCUCACCAAGGCGACGAUCCCUAGCUGGUAUGAGAGGGUGACCAUGCACCAUGGAACUGGACCACGGGUCAGAAUCCUACGGGAGGCAGCAGUGGGGAAUAUUGCACAAUUGGCGCAAGCCUUAUGCAGCCAUGCCGCGUGUAUGAAGAAGGCCUUCGGGUUUUAAAGUACUUUCAGCCGGGAGGCGUUACCCGCAGAAGAAGCCCCGGCUAACUCCGUGCCAGCGGCCGCGGUAAUUC
rnacentral:rRNA from 1 species